rnacentral:rRNA from 1 species
GACGAACGCUGGCGGCGUGCUUAACACAUGCAAGUCGAACGGAAAGGCCCUGCUUUUGUGGGGUGCUCGAGUGGCGAACGGGUGAGUAACACGUGAGUAACCUGCCCUUGACUUUGGGAUAACUUCAGGAAACUGGGGCUAAUACCGGAUAGGAGCUCCUGCUGCAUGGUGGGGGUUGGAAAGUUUCGGCGGUUGGGGAUGGACUCGCGGCUUAUCAGCUUGUUGGGGGGGUAGUGGCUUACCAAGGCUUUGACGGGUAGGCGGCCUGAGAGGGUGACCGGCCACCUUGGGACUGAGAUAGGGCCCAGUCUGCUACGGGAGGCAGCAGGGGGGAAUAUUGCACAAUGGGCGCAAGCCUGAUGCAGAAACGCCGCGUGCGGGAUGACGGCCUGCGGGUUGUAAACCGCUUUCGCCUGUGACGAAGCGUGAGUGACGGUAAUGGGUAAAGAAGCACCGGCUAACUACGUG